CUUAGUUAGCAUGUGAAACGAACUCUGUUCACAGUACGAAUGUCUAAACAGCUUCUCAAAGGCAAAGAGGCGACUUAAAGUUAAUGGAGUAUAUCAACUUUUCAGAUUUAGAAAUCGGAAUAAGGACGUUCUAGAAAUUAAUGGACCUACUUCUCGGAAACACUGAAUUGUAGUGUACUGGUUUACUUCAUCUACAUUUAAUAGGUUCGGUUUGCGCAGGGUUGAAUACUUGAAUGUGGACACUGAUAUACACAGGAUCAAAUACUUGAAUGUGGACACUGAUAUACACAGGAUCAAAUACUUGGCAUUCAACCUACAGCGAGACCUCUUCCUGGUGGAAUACUACAGUGAAUGGUCAAAUCAGGAUAAUCUGCCAUGCAACUUUCUUGAGAAGCUUCUUGAGUGCAGGCUGAGUGAUUGUAAACGUUUAUGUCCUGCUGUUGCCAAGAGACAUAAGAUGUCAGAUUUGUUCUGUAUUGUUGAGUGCAGUGAAAGUUGAUAAAAAUGCUAGAAAGAUAUCGUCAGUAUCUCUGCUGUAUGAAACAGUCUUUUGAGUUUGACAGACAAGUUUGGUGGCACUGACAUUAUCUGAGAAUGGCUCACAGAAUUUUGUGUGUGUACAAGUAUUCUACAUUUAAAUAUUUAAAAUAUAAUGGACACUCAAGACUUUUGGUGGAAGAAGCUAGUGAAUUAAUUGUGUCAUCUGUCUAUAACGAUACAAGGACUGUAAUUGGACACAAGAUUACAGCAAAAAGCCAGUCAACAGACAUGAUAUCGUCGGUAUUGUGGUUUGUUAGCUGCAGAAGUAGUCCAGCUUUUCUACAUUGUGCCAUCGUUUUUUGACUUGAUGCAAAAUAACCCUGGAGUGAUGCAGCUUGUGUCAGCUGCGUCUGGUGAUGGUGAUCAUCGAAAGUAAGAUACAAGAAGCUAUUCCGAGGCAAAACCUAUGUCAACACCAGUAUAUUUCCAGUAGUUUACUUUUUGAAGGCCGUAGCAACUUUUUCUAAGUUCACAACAAUUAUUGGGUUAAAUCUGAGGAAAAUUGUGGCUAAAAAAGAUCCUGUGUUUGAGUAAAAAAGUACUUCUAGGCCCUCAAAACCUUGGGUUCAUCAUUGCUUUACCAGAGUCAUUUUGCACUGAUACAGCUGGAGAACACAGUGCAUAUAGUGGUCCCAUGAUUUCCAAGUUUAAGGAUCAUAAUGAUUUCUACUCGUAUGUUAAUAUCAAAGGAAUCGUCUUCGAUGGAGAUUGUGGAUACUGGAAACCAAAAAGAACAAUUGAGACAGGUAUGUGUACAGACUCUUCCUAUUCAUGUGAUACUGCAGUGUUUUGGGGUAUAAGCCCACCUCUUUUAUGUCCGCCCUUACUCUAUAGGUUACAUCUGAUUUUAUGUAUUAGUGUAAACCCCCCUCCCCCAAUGCCAAUCAACAGUCCACGUUUUGAACAAGAAGCUCAGUUAAUUUUUUACAAAUCAUGAGGUGUUGCUACCCUUUAAAAACUUUCCUGAUACCAUCUUUUGGGACUUUAGGCCUUUCUCUGGUAAUUGCUCUUUAAUUGGAUUAUAAUCAUAGCUUUUGUAAUUUAUUGCCUAUGCAAGGUCAGCUAUACUAUACUAUACCAUAGGUAUGCCUAUGUGAUUUAUUGACAACUUGCUGGAAAACUAAUUAACAUUUUGGCUCUCUCUUUUGAUAUUGAGUUUGAUUGUCAGUUAAGGUCAGUGCAAAGUGAGGUUCCUCAACCCAUCAGAGCUAUUGCUGAAACAGGUACUGUAUUGUGGUAAAGGGAAUGGUAUCAGCAUGACUCUCAGGUAAAAAAUAUUGCCUUUGAUUUGUUCAUGCAGUGUUGAAAAUUCGCCUUUUAAAUAUCCUUUCCUAUACAGAUGAAAAAGUUUUUAUGAAUAGAGGGUUUCUCAAAUACCUUUCAAUAUAUAUUGACCAGGGGUGUGACUAGAGAUGACAUAGGAAAGCCCAACAACACAUCAAGUGGUCAUUUCUAACCCUCUGGCCGAUAACAAUACAAAAUACAAUAAAAUGUAUAAUAGGAUGGUACUAUGUAAUUCAAUUCAAUUUCAAUUUUAUUCAAAAACCUCCAGAAAGGAGAAACACAAACAACAAGCAAUAAAAUUACAUAGAAAACAGAGAUAACGGGAAAACAAACGAACAAAACCCUCAUCCAGAAAGAAAUGACAACCAGAGUUAAAAUGGUUUGGUGAGCAUGAUAAUUUAGUCGAGGUUUUGUUGAUUAAUACAUGUUUUCCUAUCGAUUAAUGUCUUAAGACUGUCACAAAUACCGUGUUUAAUACAAUCACUAUUCUUACUUAAUUGAAGUCUUCAAUUUUCGUCUAUAGCUAUAAUUAAAUAGUGUCGAGAAAAGAGAGAUAUCCAAGUCAACCAGGCCUUUCUUUAUCCUAUCAAUAAGCGUGUUCCUGUAUACCAUGUUACCGUUAGCUUCACAAUUAAGUAAUAGGCAUAAAAUUUCCUGGAGGUGGAGUCAUUAGCAAAUAUUUGUGACAAAAGAUCGAGCUGGGAUGACAAAAUAAUAUCUUUAAUCUUCGGCAAGUUAACUGCAUGUAACAGAGGAGUUGACCUGCAAAAUUUAGGGAUACCAAAAAAUGCCUUUACCAACUUACUUUGAAUUUUAUCCAUGUUGUCAACUCUAUUGAUAUUAAUACACUGGCAACCAUAUGUAAGAAUAGGAACAACUACAGUGUUCCAAAUGUGAAGUGUCACCUCAGUACAAGAGCCCUGUUUACACACGCCGAUACUUUGUAAUGAAAAGAAGGCUUUCUGGGAAUUAUGAAUUCUCGCAUCAGCAAGAGAAUUUCCCUUUAGAUUGCUGUUGAGUGUGACCCCCAGGUAUGUUACAGAGUCUGUGACUUUCAAGGUAUGAUUAUUUAAAGUCCAUACCGGGGCUGUGAUAAACUUUGUAUGCCAAAUGUUGUACAAGAUGUCUUAAUGGGAUUGAAACGUAACCCAUGAGAUAGUAUGUAAUUGUUGGCGUAGUCAAUAAGUUUUUGAAGACCAGUGGCGGUAAGACUUGUUAAAAGUAAAUCGUCUGCGUAACAGAAUGUAUUAAACUUAAAAUUUGCAACCACAAUACCGCAAUUAAGUUCAUUUAAACCAUUUACCAGAUCUUUAAGAACAAGUUAAAUAUAAAUGGAGAAGGUAGUCCUCCUUGUCUAGUACCUUUGCGGAUUGCAAUACUUCUACUAGUAAUAUUAUUCCAUUUAACAGUGACGUUUAUAUUUGUGUACUAUUUAUACAUACAGCGCCACCAGUCAGAUUUAAUUGCAGAAUUAAGUUUUUUAAAUAUUACGAUAUGGGGAAUUGCAUCAAAUGCACCUUCGGCAUCUAAAGAACAGGAGUAAACACUCUGGAGCCCUGAUUUACACAAUAAUUAAUAACAUCACUAAAGGUGGCGGUGGCCAUGCUGGUACUUCGACCACUUACAAAUCCAAAUUGCAUUGCAUCAAAUUCAAUAUCCCUAUGAAAUUAGAGGAAACAUAUCUCGAAAAUCUUAGAUAAAACAUUUGAGACAAUAAUGGGCCUAUAAUUGCUUGGCACCGAUGGAUCUAGACUUUGCUUUUUAAGAAUCGGAAUUAACGUACCUUCCUCAAAAAGAUUUGGAACAACUCCGUAUUUAAUACAUGUGUUAAAUAUCACUGACAAAAUCUUGGGGAGUUUUGAUUUCACUCCAUGCUUAAGGUGUUGAGCAGUAAUUCCGUCUGGGCCUGGAGAAGAGUUAUUGUUUAAAGUAUUAAUAUAUCUAAUAAUGGAGUCAGUGUUAAAAUAGUUUGAAUUUAAAAUUAAAUCUUUCAUGUUAUUCAUUUUGGUAGUGACCUCCUUCUGAGCAUCAAUAAUUGUUUGGGAGUACUCAUCUUUAUCAAAUUUGGACCCCCCCCCCACAUUAGCCCCUUCCCCAUUUCCAGACUAGAUACACCACUGACUGUAGGAGAUUUUUACCGAUAUUAGAUAGAAUAUUUAAUAACAACAACAGUAUUUUAAUUGAUUAGAUGAAUAACCGAUAUGUCUUUAUUAACAUGUUAUAGUAUGCAAUAAUCUAUUUUUCUGCUCUUCCAGCAAAAAACACAACCAUCAACUUCAGAAGUUUUACACCAGAAGCAGAAAAAUUCUGUUGCAGUGAAAUCUAUGGCGAGAAGCAGGGGUUCGCUGGUUUCAUAUGGACCAAUUAAAAGCCAGCAAGCCAAGCAGAGUACCCAGUUCACAUGUCAGGAUGAAUGAGUCUUAUUUCAAUAGCGCCCUCUAUGACAGUGUCUGGAGUGCAGUUGAAACAUUGAAUAGUGAAAGUAAAGAGUGGUUUGGUAGACAAGGCCUGUAGCCAUUGUGUGAUGACAGGAUGUGUGGCCUGUAGAUCUGAAGAUUCUCUCCACAGCCAUGUAAUGCACAGUGAG